GCCGGCGUAGCUCAGCGGUAGAGCGCGUCCUUGGUAAGGACGAGGUCACCGGUUCAAGCCCGGUCGUCGGCU
rnacentral:tRNA from 1 species